CUUUCAAAACGUUUUUCUUUAAAAUGCUUAGUUUUUGAAAGAAAAGGGGUGUACGGGUGGUAUAGGACACCCUGUAUAUGGUAAUGAAACUUUUUAUAUUGCAAUCGAACUCAAUACAAGUAUCACAAAGAAAUAUAAUAGUAUCAUAAUGUAAUCAAAACUUUGUCAAACAUAUUCGAAUCUUUUAUGAGUACUCAGAAAAACAGUAACAAAACACGAACAUCUACGUGCAAUCGGAAUUCUAGUGUGUACAUUCAAGGGUAGGAAUGGUGUCUCUAGGCGGCUAGAUGUAUAUGUGUAUGACAGCCAAAAGCGGUGUCCAGCCAGCGCGGUGUCCUAUAACUGUCUCACCCGCACUCCCUGCAUUCAAUUGGAGUGAGUAAGACAGAUAUCUUCUUCUUGUGCAAUACUCGAUUCGAGCGUACGCUAUCCCUCUACAUAUAUCUACGGUGUGCGCCGUUCCGCAAACAUAUGGGACCUACAAUUUAACGCCGGUUCCGAACGGCCUAGAUUUGUGAGAGAUUUUACCAGGCAAGAUAUACUCUCGGUGGUUUGCCAUUGCCUUCCGAGAGAUGGCGAUCGCGAAUUAUCGAAAUAAUUUGAUGUGUUUUCUGGCUCUGGCUGGAUUUGAACUCGAGCCCUUCAACACAGAGAACAGACGCACAGCUCUCCGCGCCACGAUCGCACACGAGACAGAUAUAGGAUACCAUUAAUUAACAUCACGUCUUAUAUUGCUUUCUCUCUCGAUCAUAUGACUUGCGAUAAGAAUGCAACAUCGGAAUGCCUCCCACUUUUUUCUCCUUCACUGCUUGAUCUUCUUCGCGCUUCAAGUGAUACGUAUACAUACAUACGCGAUCUGUGUGUAUGCGUGAUACUUUCGGUUGUCAUAUACAUAUACACCUAACCGCCGAGGGACACCAUUCCUGCCCUUGAGUGUACACAUCUGCAUACAAAAUAAUAUCUCUGAUAUAUAUGUGCACACAUUUUGAAAUUUCAAUUGCAUAUAAAGAAUGUUGUGUUUCGAAGUACUUGUAAAAAAUUCGAGUAUAUUUCAUAAAUUUUCAGUUACAAUUUGAUAUUAGUACCAAUAUGAUUCGUUAUUAUUAUUAUUCAUUGUUCGUAAUUUGUUUCAUUCAUAAUUGUAUGAAGUUUUUUAUAUAAUUACAUUAAAUACAUAUGUUUUUUUUAUAAAUAUUUUGAAAGUAUUCAAAAUUUUCAUGAAAUGAAUGGGCAACACUUUGAUUAUCUUAUUAAAUAAAAUUAAUUCAUUUUGUUUGAAAAAUUAUUAUUUUUAUUACUUAUCUACUAUUCUUCCUGUUUUUCUAAAUUUUUUCAUUUCAAGGUCACCCCACGAUCAAAGUGUUAUAGAUCGUUGGAUUUGUCUUUUCAUCCACUACAAUUAUAGCUGAUUAAAGACUUCCCAUUUAAAAAAUUUGAGAUAAACAUCAAAAUUUUUUGACGCCUCCAUAUAAAAAAAAAAAA